rnacentral:lncRNA from 1 species
CAAAAGUCAUACCUGGGCAGAUUCUUCUUCCAGCUCCAAAUGGGAUGUAGUUGAAGUUAGUUCCUUUAUAAUCAAUGGAGUUUUCACUGAACCUUUCUGGUAUAAAUUUCUCUGGAUCUUUCCAGUACGAAGGAUCUCUUCCUAUUGCCCAGGCGUUGACGAUGACUUUGGUUUUUUCAGGGAUUUCAUAGCCAUCUAUCUCGCAGCUUUCUUUGCUUUCUCUUGGAAGACACAAGGGUACUGGUGGGUGAAUCCUCAGAGCUUCUUUGAUCACCAACUU